GGAGGGCUGUACUUCAGUGGCAGAGCAUCUGCUUUGCAUACAGAAGGUCCCAGGUUCAAAACCUGGCAUCUCCA